rnacentral:rRNA from 1 species
AUUGAACGCUGGCGGCAUGCUUUACACAUGCAAGUCGAACGGUAACAGGCCUUCGGGUGCUGACGGGUGGCGAACGGGUGAGUAAUGCAUCGGAACGUACCCAGAGGCGGGGGAUAACGCAGCGAAAGCUGUGCUAAUACCGCCUGUGAUCUGAGGUUGAAAGCGGGGGACCGCGCAGCAAUGUUUGGCUUCGCGCCUUUGUAGCGGCCGAUCUCGGCUUCGCUAGUUGGUGGGGUAAAGGCCUACCAAGGCCACGAUCCGUAGCUGGUCUGACAGGACGAACCGGCAGACUGGGAGUGAGAAACGGCCCCGACACCGAGGGGGAGCAGCGGUGGGGAAUUUUGGGGGAUGGGCGAAAGCCUGAUCCAGCAAUGCCGGGUGAGGGAAGAAGGACUUCGGGUGGUAAAACGCUGUUGGCAGGAAGGUAACGGUGACCUCUCAUCCCGGGCGCUAAUGACGGUACCUGCAGAAGAAGCACCGGCUAACUACGUG